UACGUAGGGAGCAAGCGUUGUCCGGAAUCAUUGGGCGUAAAGAGCGUGUAGGCGGCCAGAUAGGUCUGUUGUGAAAACUCGAGGCUCAACCUCGAGACGCCGAUGGAAACCAUCUGGCUAGAGUCCGGAAGAGGAGAGUGGAAUUCCUGGUGUAGCGGUGAAAUGCGCAGAUAUCAGGAAGAACACCCGUGGCUAAGGCGGCUCUCUAGUACGGUACUGACGCUGAGACGCGAAAGCGUGGGGAGCGAACAGG
rnacentral:rRNA from 1 species